UUUAAAAAGGAUGAAAGGAGACAAGGCGAUGGGCCCUGAUUGUAUCCCCAUUAAAGUGUGUGGAGAGGCCUCGAGGACAUAGCGGCAAUAUGGCUAACCAAGCUUUUCAACCUUAUUUUUUGAGCAAACAAGAUGCCGGAAGAAUAGAGACGGAGUAUAUUAGUACCAAUCUUCAAGAACAAGGGGAUUACAGAGUUGUACUAAUUACCAUAGAAUUAAGCUGAUGAGCCAUACAAAAGAGAGCCAUUGAGCACCGCUUAAGAAGAAUGACAGGCGUGGCCAAGAAUUAGUUUGGUUUCAUGCCUGGGAGGUCGACCAUGGAAGCCAUUUUCUUGGUACGACAACUUAUGGAGAGAUACAUGGAACAAAAGGAUCUGCAUAUGGUGUUCAUUGACUUGGAGAAGGCCUAUGAUAAGAUAACGCGGAAUGUCAUGUGGUGGGCCUUGGAGAAACACAAAGUCCCAGCAAAGUAUAUUACCCUCAUCAAGGACAUGUACGAUAAUGUUGUGUCAAGUGUUCAAACAAGUGUCGCUACCCUCAUCAAGGACAUGUACGAUAAUGCUGUGUCAAGUGUUCAAACAAGUGAUGGCGACACUGAUGACUUCUCGAUUAAAUAGGACUGUACCAUGAGUCAACUUUGAGCCCUUAUCUUUUUUGCUUUGGUGAUGGAUGAGGUCAUAAGGGAUAACAAGGAGACAUCCCAUGGUGUAUACUCUUUGCGGGUGAUGUGGUGCUAGUCGAUGAUAGUAGGAUGGGGGUCAAUAGAAAGUUAGAGCUAUGGAGACAAACCA
rnacentral:lncRNA from 1 species